rnacentral:rRNA from 1 species
UACGUAGGGGGCAAGCGUUGUCCGGAUUUAUUGGGCGUAAAGAGCGUGUAGGCGGCUUUGCAAGUCCGUUGUGAAAACUCGAGGCUCAACCUCGAGACGCCGGUGGAAACUGCAAAGCUAGAGUCCGGAAGAGGAGAGUGGAAUUCCUGGUGUAGCGGUGAAAUGCGCAGAUAUCAGGAAGAACACCCGUGGCGAAGGCGGCUCUCUGGGGACGGUACUGACGCUGAGACGCGAAAGCGUGGGGAGCAAACAGG